GGACACGUGUCGUAAUCCUCACUGCGAGAGACACGCGUCACCAGGCCGCCACGUCUUGACCGAAACACCAUCAGAGGGGCACGUGUCCUAAGAUCGAAGCCCCACCCCUUCAUCGGCAUGCAAACUCCGUCGCCGCAAUAAUCAGACCUCCACCGGAAGAGUACAACAGCUUCCGUCGGGGUCAGAGCAAAAGUGCGACCCAACUCCAC
rnacentral:lncRNA from 1 species